GGGGGCGUGGCGGAAUGGCAGACGCAACGGACUUAAAAUCCGGUUCCUUACAAGGAGUGUGGGUUCGAGUCCCACCGCCCCUA
rnacentral:tRNA from 1 species